rnacentral:rRNA from 1 species
UGAGGUUAAGUGACUAAGCGUACACGGUGGAUGCCUAGGCAGUCAGAGGCGAUGAAGGGCGUGCUAAUCUGCGAAAAGCGUCGGUAAGGUGAUAUGAACCGUUACAACCGGCGAUACCCGAAUGGGGAAACCCAGUGUGUUUCGACACACUAUCAUGUCAUGAAUACAUAGUGGCAUGAGGCGAACCGGGGGAACUGAAACAUCUAAGUACCCCGAGGAAAAGAAAUCAACCGAGAUUCCCCCAGUAGCGGCGAGCGAACGGGGAGGAGCCCAGAACCUGAAUCGGCUUGUGUGUUAGUGGAAGCGUCUGGAAAGUCGCGCAGCAAAGGGUGAUAGCCCCGUACACUAAAAUGCACAGGUCGUGAGUUCGAUGAGUAGGGCGGGACACGUGACAUCCUGUCUGAAUAUGGGGGGACCAUCCUCCAAGGCUAAAUACUCCUGACUGACCGAUAGUGAACCAGUACCGUGAGGGAAAGGCGAAAAGAACCCCGGCGAGGGGAGUGAAAUAGAACCUGAAACCGUGUACGUACAAGCAGUGGGAGCACCUUCGUGGUGUGACUGCGUACCUUUUGUAUAAUGGGUCAGCGACUUAUAUUUUGUAGCAAGGUUAACCGUAUAGGGGAGCCGUAGGGAAACCGAGUCUUAACUGGGCGACUAGUUGCAAGGUAUAGACCCGAAACCCGGUGAUCUAGCCAUGGGCAGGUUGAAGGUUGGGUAACACUAACUGGAGGACCGAACCGACUAAUGUUGAAAAAUUAGCGGAUGACUUGUGGCUGGGGGUGAAAGGCCAAUCAAACCGGGAGAUAGCUGGUUCUCCCCGAAAGCUAUUUAGGUAGCGCCUCGUGAACUCAUCUUCGGGGGUAGAGCACUGUUUCGGCUAGGGGGCCAUCCCGGCUUACCAAACCGAUGCAAACUCCGAAUACCGAAGAAUGUUAUCACGGGAGACACACGGCGGGUGCUAACGUCCGUCGUGAAGAGGGAAACAACCCAGACCGCCAGCUAAGGUCCCAAAGUCAUGGUUAAGUGGGAAACGAUGUGGGAAGGCAUAGACAGCCAGGAUGUUGGCUUAGAAGCAGCCAUCAUUUAAAGAAAGCGUAAUAGCUCACUGGUCGAGUCGGCCUGCGCGGAAGAUGUAACGGGGCUAAACCAUGCACCGAAGCUGCGGCAGCGACGCUUAGGCGUUGUUGGGUAGGGGAGCGUUCUGUAAGCCGUUGAAGGUGGCCUGUGAGGGUUGCUGGAGGUAUCAGAAGUGCGAAUGCUGACAUAAGUAACGAUAAAGCGGGUGAAAAGCCCGCUCGCCGGAAGACCAAGGGUUCCUGUCCAACGUUAAUCGGGGCAGGGUGAGUCGACCCCUAAGGCGAGGCUGAAAAGCGUAGUCGAUGGGAAACAGGUUAAUAUUCCUGUACUUGGUGUUACUGCGAAGGGGGGACGGAGAAGGCUAGGCUAGCCGGGCGACGGUUGUCCCGGUUUAAGCGUGUAGGGGGUGUGACCUGGUAAAUCCGGUUGCAUGCUAACCCUGAGGCGUGAUGACGAUGCACUACGGUGCAGAAGUAGUUGAUGCCCUGCUUCCAGGAAAAUCCUCUAAGCUCCAGGUAACAUUAAAUCGUACCCCAAACCGACACAGGUGGUCAGGUAGAGAAUACCAAGGCGCUUGAGAGAACUCGGGUGAAGGAACUAGGCAAAAUGGUGCCGUAACUUCGGGAGAAGGCACGCUGGCAUGUAGGUGAAGUCCCUUGCGGAUGGAGCUGAAGCCAGUCGAAGAUACCAGCUGGCUGCAACUGUUUAAUAAAAACACAGCACUGUGCAAACACGAAAGUGGACGUAUACGGUGUGACGCCUGCCCGGUGCUGGAAGGUUAAUUGAUGGGGUCAGCCGCAAGGCGAAGCUCUUGAUCGAAGCCCCAGUAAACGGCGGCCGUAACUAUAACGGUCCUAAGGUAGCGAAAUUCCUUGUCGGGUAAGUUCCGACCUGCACGAAUGGCGUAAUGAUGGCCAGGCUGUCUCCACCCGAGACUCAGUGAAAUUGAACUCGCUGUGAAGAUGCAGUGUACCCGCGGCAAGACGGAAAGACCCCGUGAACCUUUACUAUAGCUUGACACUGAACAUUGAGCCUUGAUGUGUAGGAUAGGUGGGAGGCUUUGAAGCGUGGACGCCAGUCUGCGUGGAGCCAUCCUUGAAAUACCACCCUUUAAUGUUUGAUGUUCUAACUCGGCCCCAUAAUCUGGGGUGAGGACAGUGUCUGGUGGGUAGUUUGACUGGGGCGGUCUCCUCCCAAAGAGUAACGGAGGAGCACGAAGGUUAGCUAAUCACGGUCGGACAUCGUGAGGUUAGUGCAAAGGCAUAAGCUAGCUUGACUGCGAGAGUGACGGCUCGAGCAGGUACGAAAGUAGGUCUUAGUGAUCCGGUGGUUCUGAAUGGAAGGGCCAUCGCUCAACGGAUAAAAGGUACUCCGGGGAUAACAGGCUGAUACCGCCCAAGAGUUCAUAUCGACGGCGGUGUUUGGCACCUCGAUGUCGGCUCAUCACAUCCUGGGGCUGAAGUAGGUCCCAAGGGUAUGGCUGUUCGCCAUUUAAAGUGGUACGCGAGCUGGGUUUAGAACGUCGUGAGACAGUUCGGUCCCUAUCUGCCGUGGGCGUUGGAAGAUUGAGAGGGGUUGCUCCUAGUACGAGAGGACCGGAGUGAACGCACCACUGGUGUUCGGGUUGUCAUGCCAAUGGCAUUGCCCGGUAGCUAAGUGCGGAAAAGAUAAGCGCUGAAAGCAUCUAAGCGCGAAACUUGCCUCAAGAUGAGUCUUCCCUGGGCCUUUAAGGUCCCUGAAGGAACGUUUAAGACUAAGACGUUGAUAGGCUGGGUGUGUAAGUGCAGCGAUGCAUUGAGCUAACCAGUACUAAUGAUCCGUGAGGCUUAACCUU